rnacentral:rRNA from 1 species
AUACGUAGGGUGCAAGCGUUAAUCGGAAUUACUGGGCGUAAAGCGUGCGCAGGCGGUUUUGUAAGACAGUGGUGAAAUCCCCGGGCUCAACCUGGGAACUGCCAUUGUGACUGCAAGGCUGGAGUGCGGCAGAGGGGGAUGGAAUUCCGCGUGUAGCAGUGAAAUGCGUAGAUAUGCGGAGGAACACCGAUGGUGAAGGCAAUCCCCUGGGCAUGCACUGACGCUCAUGCACGAAAGCGUGGGGAGCAAACAGGAUUAGAUACCCUGGUAGUCCACGCCCUAAACGAUGUCAACUGGUUGUUGGGGAUUUAUUUUCUCAGUAACGAAGCUAACGCGUGAAGUUGACCGCCUGGGGAGUACGGCCGCAAGGUUAAAACUCAAAUGAAUUGACGGGG